CUUUAUUGCCAUCGUUUCCACUACAAAUUGCCAAGCCAGAUAUCUCAUGAACCUCAGCAACAACAGAAUGCAGAUCAGACCAAGAGUAUGUCCUCCAAGGAGGAGGAGGUUGUGAUUUGUUUGCAGAUGCCUUAUUACUAUGAGCAUGUGGAUGAGGAUGAAGAGGUGGAAGAGGGAAAGGUGGAGAUAAUGAUGUGGCGCUGCUUUGCCCCUCCUCACUGCUGCUCAAAUUAAGACAUGAUUUUCCUCCACCUAUGUUAGCUGAUCGCUU
rnacentral:lncRNA from 1 species